rnacentral:rRNA from 1 species
GUAGGUGGCAAGCGUUGUCCGGAAUUAUUGGGCGUAAAGCGCGCGCAGGCGGUUCUUUAAGUCUGAUGUGAAAGCCCACGGCUCAACCGUGGAGGGUCAUUGGAAACUGGAGAACUUGAGUACAGAAGAGGAAUGCGGAAUUCCACGUGUAGCGGUGAAAUGCGUAGAGAUGUGGAGGAACACCAGUGGCGAAGGCGGCUUUCUGGUCUGUAACUGACGCUGAGGCGCGAAAGCGUGGGGGGGAGCAAACAGGAUUAGAUACCCUGGUAGUCCACGCCGUAAACGAUGAGUGCUAAGUGUUAGGGGGUUUCCGCCCCCCCCUUAGUGCUGCAGCUAACGCAUUAAGCACUCCGCCUGGGGAGUACGGCCGCAAGGCUG